AUACUUGUAGGCCCGCUCCACGAAGCGACGGUUGGUGAGGGCGGAGUCCUCUGCAGCCAGGCUUCGCUGCCGAUGAGGGGCCUCAGCCUUGAAAAAUAGAGCCUCCAGCACAGCCUUGGAUGCAAGGUCGUGAUCAAAGUCAUUGCAGGUUAGAACCUUCUUAAGCUUCCUGCAGGUCAUAUAGGGGAAGCGGAUGAAGCGGCCCAGGCGUGUACCAAGGAUUUCACGCCGCUCCUCCAAUUUUGGGUACUGAGCCCUGGCCCACUUCAACACAAAAUCAUACACUGCAUCCUCUGAUGCAACCUGGAGAUCAUCACUGGAC
rnacentral:lncRNA from 1 species